rnacentral:rRNA from 1 species
GAAACAGUGGCUAAGACUGGAUAGGAAGAUAAAAGGCAUCUUUUAUCUUUUAAAAGACCUAGUAAUAGGUAUGCUUUAGGAGGGGCUUGCGCCAUAUUAGUUAGUUGGUAGGGUAAUGGCCUACCAAGACGAUGAUGUGUAGCUGGACUGAGAGGUUGAACAGCCACAUUGGGACUGAGACACGGCCCAAACUCCUACGGGAGGCAGCAGUAGGGAAUUUUCGGCAAUGGAGGAAACUCUGACCGAGCAACGCCGCGUGAAUGACGAAGUACUUCGGUAUGUAAAGUUCUUUUAUCAAGGAAGAAAAGCAAAUGGCGAACCAUUUGUUUGCCGGUACUUGAUGAAUAAGCCCCGGCUAAUUAUGUGCCAGCAGCCGCGGUAAGACAUAAGGGGCAAGUGUUAUCCGGAAUUAUUGGGCGUAAAGGGUGCGUAGGCGGUCUAGUAAGUCAGUGGUGUAAUGGCAACGCUUAACGUUGUCCGGCUAUUGAAACUGCUAAACUUGAGUUAGAUAGAGGCGAGUGGAAUUCCAUGUGUAGCGGUAAAAUGCGUAAAUAUAUGGAGGAACACCAGAGGCGUAGGCGGCUCGCUGGGUCUUAACUGACGCUGAGGCACGAAAGCGUGGGGAGCAAACAGGAUUAGAUACCCUGGUAGUCCACGCCGUAAACGAUGAGUACUAAGUGUCGGGUUAAACCGGUACUGAAGUUAACACAUUAAGUACUCCGCCUGAGUAGUACGUACGCAAGUAUGAAACUUAAAGGAAUUGACGGGACUCCGCACAAGCGGUGGAUCAUGUUGUUUAAUUCGAAGAUACCCGAAAAACCUUACCAGGUCUUGACAUGUUUUUGCAAAAUGAUAGUAAUAUCGUGGAGGUUACCAGAAACACAGGUGGUGCAUGGUUGUCGUCAGCUCGUGUCGUGAGAUGUUAGGUUAAGUCCUAAAACGAGCGAAACCCUUAUCGUUAGUUGCCAGCACGUUAUGGUGGGGACUUUAACGAGACUGCCAAUGAUAAAUUGGAGGAAGGGGAGGAUCACGUCAAAUCAGCAUGCCCCUUAUGACCUGGCUACAA